AUUUGUUGAGGGCAAUGAACAGAUUCACUCAGGUGGAUGUAGUAGAUGAUGGGUCGUGUAAGCACUGUACAGCUUCGAUAUUUGCUGUGGCUUCAUUCUGUGAGAGGCACAAAGACUGUCACACUCAAGUCGGAACAGAUAUUCCAUGUGUUUGGGACAAUUUUUUAAGCCUCGUGUCAUCUCAUCUUGUAUUGGCCAAUUACAUAAAACUACAGGACUAUACAGGAGAAGAACCUGAAGUUAGCGCUCACCAUUCAAUAAACAACCCAUGCAAGUCCUUGAACAACAACUCUAUUAAAGAAAUUGAAGAAAAAAAAUUGUUUCAACUCCUGUGUUUUUACACAAAAUGUGGAUUUUUCUGUGAGCAAAUACAUUAUGAUCCUUUGAAAUUUGAGGAAAUAGUACAAAAAUGUGAAUAUCUCUUCGACAAACAUUUGAAAGUUGCAAUUAUGUCUCUCUAAGUAUAGCAGAGCAACAAAUUUGUAAAUGAGAUAAGCAUGUAAUGCAUAAUAAUUUAUGGCAUUCUUGAUUAUAACAGUGAGGAAAAACUUAAAACACUUUUGGUCUAAGGUACAGGAUUCAUUAAUAUUCAUAAUUUAUUGAUGGCAGAAUACCUGAACUGAUAAAUAUAAAUUAGGAACAAACAAUAAAAUAUUUCAAUCAUCA